rnacentral:rRNA from 1 species
GACGAACGCUGGCGGCGUGCCUAAUACAUGCAAGUCGAACGCACAGUUUAUACCGUAGCUUGCUACACCAUAAACUGUGAGUUGCGAACGGGUGAGUAACGCGUAGGUAACCUGCCUGGUAGCGGGGGAUAACUAUUGGAAACGAUAGCUAAUACCGCAUAAUAUUAAUUAUUGCAUGAUAAUUGAUUGAAAGAUGCAAUUGCAUCACUACCAGAUGGACCUGCGUUGUAUUAGCUAGUAGGUGAGGUAACGGCUCACCUAGGCGACGAUACAUAGCCGACCUGAGAGGGUGAUCGGCCACACUGGGACUGAGACACGGCCCAGACUCCUACGGGAGGCAGCAGUAGGGAAUCUUCGGCAAUGGACGAAAGUCUGACCGAGCAACGCCGCGUGAGGGAAGAAGGUUUUCGGAUCGUAAAGCUCUGUUGUAAGAGAAGAACGGGUGUGAGAGUGGAAAGUUCACACUGUGACGGUAUCUUACCAGAAAGGGACGGCUAACUACGUG